UUUGCACGUUUUGCCGGUCGCGUUGUCCGUGUGUGUUUCAAAUCUCCGUCAUAAAGUAAAUUUACCGAUUAUUCGUGAUGCGUGGAGUUCACCUUAGUUUCAAAUGUGUCUGAAAAAAGGAAGCUACUGUGAGCCGUGCAACUACGUCGAAUCUGCUCAACAGCCGAGAUCGUGGCACGGUCGUUUCAAACCCUUGCCAAGCAGAAGUUGGCAUUCACUUUUACCAUCCCGAUGUGAGUGUCCUGGGACGACACAGGAUGACAGUCUCCUCUGCUGAAGUCCAGGCUUCAUGGGAGACUGCCAAGGCUGUUUAUGUGGCAGCAGCACCAGCUCCUGUGAUGCAGAGCAUGUGCAACACAGAUGCAGCCUUCGGUGGUGCAGCUGCAAUACCUGCAACCUUAGAUGGAGCAGCUG